CUACGGGGCGCUGCAGUCAAGAAUCUUCCGCAAUGCACGAAAGUGUGACGGAGCAAUGCCGCGUGAUUGAUGAAGGCCUUCGGGUCGUAAAGAUCUUUUAUCAGGGACGAACAAAUGACGGUACCUGAUGAAUAAGAGGUUGCUAACUCUGUGCCAGCAGCAGCGGUAAUACAGAGACCUCAAGCGUUAUCCGGAUUUAUUGGGCGUAAAGGGUCCGUAGGUGGCUAUCUAAGUCAUUCGUUAAAUCUUCAGGCUCAACCUGGAGGCCGCGGGGGAUACUGGAUAGCUAGAGGGUGGGAGAGGCAGAUGGAAGUGCUGGUGUAGCGGUAAAAUGCGUUAAUAUCAGCAAGAACACCAAAGGCGAAAGCAAUCUGCUGGAACACUCCUGACACUGAGGGACGAAAGCGUGGGUAGCGAAUCGGAUUAGAUACCCCGGUAGUC
rnacentral:rRNA from 1 species